GCCGGAGCUGGGGCAGGUCGGGGAGAGGGGCCGCGCCUGGAGGGGCCGGCCGCGGCUACCUCGCCCACUCGUGGAGUCCCACCCCGAGGCCCUAGACCUUCGGGGCUCAGCUAGCCCCUUGGAUUCCAAGGGAAAUCAGGAAUCACGGCAGUCCACUCCAUCGAUUUAAGAACGAGGAAACCAGGGGAGGUGUAACUUGUCCAAGGUCCUACAGAGCAGACGCGCUCAGAGAGGGGAAGAGACUUGCCCAAGGUCACAUAGCAAGUUUGAGCCAGAGCCCAGGCCAGCACACAGAUUGCCUGAGUGCCCUGCCAUCAGGGCCCCUGUAGGGCUUGGAAGAGGAAGAGGCUGAUGCAGGUGCCCAGUGCGACCAGCACAGAGAGCCCCCGGGACCUGGCUCUAGGAUGCUGACUGUGGGCAGGUUAACUGGGGGAAGACCCGCUGCCUCUCCAGGCAUGUACACUUCCUGUCUCUCAGGAGCCUGACGCCUGGAGAGGAGGAGGGAGUCGCUGCCAGGGCUCUGGAAACCCUGAGUAAUGGACAGGGGGGCCUCUGCCAGCUCCACCCGGGGAUGGCAGCUGCCCCCAGCAGGGAGCACCAACCACACACGUGGGAGGAACAGAUUGCUUAGACAGAUGCAGAAAGGCAGCCCAGAUUCUGAAACCGGUGGGAGAAUUGGGGCUCAGAAAAAACUAAAUAAUAGUAUAUUAUUCAUAAUAUAAUAUUUUAUUAUGUAUAAUAUAUUAUUACUACAUUGUAUUGAGCCCUUAGGAUGUGCCAGGCACUACUUCACAAUGUCUCGUGUAAUCCCCACAGCAAGCCUAGGAGGUGGAUAUUAAUAUUAUACCCACUUUCCAGAUGAAGAUACUGAGGCUUCAGGAGGUUCAGUCCCUUGCCCAAGGUUGCCAGGAAGGAAAGCUCACAAAAGAGGGUUUUUUUGGGGACUGGAAGACCUCUAGGUUUCCUUCUUCUUUCCUAACCCCAAGUUUUCAUACCAGCCCAGGCUUCCUCCUGCCUCCUCCCGGAUCUGCAGGCCGCCUUCCCCUCCUCCUCCCUCCUCCUGUUCUCAGUCUUCCCCAUCGCCUCCCCUUCUUCAAACCCUCGGCCCCUAAGGCUCAGAGGCUGAAGACACAGGGAUAGACUCUCCCUGACGCUGCACUUGGACCGCUAGCUGAGGAAGGUUAAAGAAAGCAGGUUUUGCAGCUCUUUGCAUAACAACAACAAAAAUUCUUUUCCCAAGAAAAGUGGUGUGCGCUCAGCAGUGCCUCCUCCAUGCACCUCUGAACACCCACCGCCCAAGACCAGGAGUCCCGGUUGUGGUUCAAGAGAAGGAAGGCAUUUCUAGUGGUUCAAGCUUAUUCGACAGCAGAGUGGGCAGCCUCUUGGGGCUCUGGGCCUCCCGUCACUGCAGAUGUCUCAGCACAGGCGGGAGGUCCCCUGUCCGAUGGUGGUGCCAAAGAAAUUCCUGGAUUCCCUUUCUCUUACUUGCUGAGAAAUCAAUUCCAGCCCUGGGAUUCCAGCUACAUUACCGCAAAAACAUCGGUCCUACUUGUAAUCAAAUUGGAUUCAGAGUUAGUGUGUACGUUUCUCGUCCAUCUCUGAAUAGAAAUCUAUCAAGGUGGCUGAUGUCAAGGGGAGGAGAAAGGACCCCUAGCUCUGUCAGGCGGGAGGACAGCGGCCUGGGGUGGGAAGGGAUACAUUGUGGUGGUAAUCUUGGGGUGGGCAGGGGGUUGAGAAAGGAAGGAAGACAUGGAAAAUGGCAUCUGGUGGAUUGUGGGGGCGCCUGCAGCAGAGGACUCUAGCAUGGGGAAGCAUUAGAGAAAGCCUGUUCCCAGAGUUCCAGGGGCCAAGCAGGGUCCCCAGGGGUCUCUCCCCCGUGGGGUUCAUCCCAGCCUUCUAGAUUUCCUGUCUUCAGCCUUGCUUCCCGCUCAAGCAGGGCCUUGAGAGGGUUAUGUUCAGGCGAGGAGCCCUCUUCCUCCAGCCCUGCACAGCCUGGACAUGGGUCUUUGGGCCCAGAGGUGUGUGAAGGAUGCCUCCUCCUGCCUAUGUCUCUGCCUAACGCCGGGUCCCAGCACCCUCCUUCCCAGAGCCUGUCACAAGAAUUAAGAAGUGGAGCGACGGCCUCAUCCCUCAGGGAAGGAAAGAGCUCCCCAAGUGAACCAAGGGCUCUCUCUGUGAGGCCUUCCGUGGCACAGGAUCGGGGGGAGAUUGGGGUGCAGUGGUCGUCCGGGGAGCCCUCCCAGGCCAGGCUUGGUGAAGCUACCGUGGCUUCUCAGGGUGUAGACCCAUGACUAUGAUGUCACAUGGGAUUUGGAGGCAUGGCUGGCACCUUGAGCUCAUUUCUUUUGGGACCUUGAAGGACUGAGACAGGAGGGCCUCGUGCCCUCAUGUCCCCACCCUGAAACCUCCUUUCCCCCAUAUGCUGCUCAGGCAAACAUACCCCUCCCCCACUUCUCCUACCCAAGAUAUGAAUGAUCCUUUCCCCCUUAGUAUUACCAUCACCGCCCUCAAACCCCGGUCCAUAACCAGUUGCAAUAUGUCAACCUAAUUUGAACCUGAUUCAAAUAAGCCGAAAGGAAGAUAUAUUUGUGAUACAAUUGAAAAUUUGGACACUGACUGGAUAUUUGUUGAUUUAAAGACAAUUUUUUAAUAAUGCUCUUUUUUUAGAACAGUUUUAGAUUUAUAGCAAAAUUAAGAAAAUAGUGCAGAAAGUUCCCACAUACCAUCCCUCCCCACCCAGUUUCCCCUAUUAUUAAUAUCUUCCAUUUGUAUAGAUACAUUUGACACAAUUAAUGAACCAAUUUUGAUACAUUAUUGUUAACUAAAGGCCAUAGUUUACUGAAAUUUCCUUAGUUUUUACUUAGUACCCUUUUUCUGCGCCAGGAUCCCCUCCAGGAUCCCACAUUACAUUUAGUUAUCCUGUCUCUUCAGGCUCUUCUCGGCUGGGACAGUUUCUUAGACUUUCCUUAUUUUCGAUGACCUUGGCAGUUUCGAGAAGUACCGGUCAGAUAUUUUGUAGAACGUCCCUCUAUUGGAAUUUGAUGUUUUUCUCAUGGUUAGACUGGGGUUUGGGGUUUGGGAGAGGAAGAUCACAGAGGUAAAGAGCCAUUCUCAUCACAUCCUGUCAGGGGUGCAUAGUAUCGGCAUGAUGUGUGACUGUUGACAUUGACCUUGAUCACCGGCCUGAGGUGGUGGUGGUCAGGUUCUCCACUGUAGUUACUCUUUCCCUCACUUUCCAUCUUCUUUGGAAGGAAGUCACUAUGGCCAGCCCACACUGAAGGGGUGGAAGCUAUGCUGCCCGCUCCCCAUUGAGGGCGGAGUAUCUACAUAAGUUAUUUAGAAUUCUUCUGCACGAGAGGUUUCUCUCUUCUCCCUCAUUUAUUUAUUUAUUCAAUUAUUUAUACCAGCAUGAACUCUGGGAUAUUUAUUUUAUACUUUGGGUAAUAAUCCCAUACUACCAUAUUUAUUUUGUUGCUCAGUUGUUCUAACUUUGGCCAGUGGAGCUAUGUCAGUUGGCUCGUGUGUCCCUUUGACAUAACCCCACCAGUGUGGGAUUUUUGUUUUCCCUUUGUUUAGCACUUCCAUACUUUCUGGCCCUGUAAGACACUCCAAGUUCAUCUGGCAUAUUUCCUGCCCAGUCCUGGAGUCAGCCAUUUCUCCAAGGAGCCCUGGUUUGUUUUCCUGGAGAAUGGUUCUGGAAGCCUAGAUCUGGGUGCUGGGUAUGCUCCUUGCUAGUGGGGUUAAAGAUUUAAUUUUAACUUUUUACAUGAUAAUGGUAUUGAAGUUAUUUUUUAAAAGAGUCUUUAUCUUUUUUUAGAUACCUAUAGAAUAUUUAUGGCUGAAAUGAUAUGUCUGCGAUUUGCUUCAAAAUAAUAUGGGAAGAGAUGGGACAAGAUUGGCCAUGCAUUGCGCAUUGUUGAGGCUGGGUGAUGGAAUACACAGGGGCUCUUUAUAGUGUUCUGUCUACUUAGUAUAUGUUUGAAAUGUCUGGAGUAAAAAUUUUAAAAUAAUAAAUCAAAACUCAGUCCCAAUCACCUCCUCUAGAAGCCCUUCUUGGUGACACUCUCUGGCCUGGCGUCUGCCCCUUCCUCCUGCUGGGUGUUUCCAUCCUUUCCGCGCUGGAGCGCUGCUCUAUAGGUGUCCUGGCCUCAGCUCACUGCCUGCCUGAGGACGGGGUGUCUCCUUGGAGCGGUGCACCACUGCAGGAGUCUGCAGGGGCUCCGCACCAGAGAGGGAGAGCAGCCCCCCCUAGCCGUGCCCAGGUGCUGCGGUGUGGCAGGCCCCAUGCCAGGCACCUUCACAGGUACAGUCCCAGCAAGUGGGCAUCAUUCUUACUCUGAGUUUAUGGAUGAGGAAACUGAGGCUAAGAGAACCAUUGAGUGCCCCUGACUGGGCAGCUUCCGACCCUUCUGAGCCCACCCUAGGGAGAAGGGAUCCAGGGUGCUAAAUGUCUCCAUCUGCCCUUCCACACCCACUCUCCAACCUUCUCCCCCCGCCUGUGCGCCCAGAGCCUGACCCUCUGGACUGCAUCACUCAGCUCUCCGUCUUCUGGCUCCCCG
ensembl:lncRNA